rnacentral:rRNA from 1 species
CGGGACGGGUGAGUAAUGUCUGGGAAACUGCCUGAUGGAGGGGGAUAACUACUGGAAACGGUAGCUAAUACCGCAUAACGUCGCAAGACCAAAGAGGGGGGCCUUCGGGCCUCUUGCCAUCGGAUGUGCCCAGAUGGGAUUAGCUAGUAGGUGGGGUAACGGCUCACCUAGGCGACGAUCCCUAGCUGGUCUGAGAGGAUGACCAGCCGCACUGGAACUGAGACACGGUCCAG